rnacentral:tRNA from 1 species
GCCCCCAUAGCUCAGUUGGUAGAGCGCGGCACUAGUAUAAUUCAUGGUCACAUGAUACAUCGUGAUGCCGAGGUCUUCAGUUCAACUCUGAAUGUGGGCAU